rnacentral:rRNA from 1 species
AGUGAACGCUGGCGGUAGGCCUAAUACAUGCAAGUCGAACGGCAGCACAGAGGAGCUUGCUCCUUGGGUGGCGAGUGGCGGACGGGUGAGGAAUACAUCGGAAUCUACUCUGUCGUGGGGGAUAACGUAGGGAAACUUACGCUAAUACCGCAUACGACCUACGGGUGAAAGCAGGGGACCUUCGGGCCUUGCGCGAUUGAAUGAGCCGAUGUCGGAUUAGCUAGUUGGCGGGGUAAAGGCCCACCAAGGCGACGAUCCGUAGCUGGUCUGAGAGGAUGAUCAGCCAAACUGGAACUGAGACACGGUCCAGACUCCUACGGGAGGCAGCAGUGGGGAAUAUUGGACAAUGGGCGCAAGCCUGAUCCAGCCAUACCGCGUGGGUGAAGAAGGCCUUCGGGUUGUAAAGCCCUUUUGUUGGGAAAGAAAUCCAGCUGGCUAAUACCCGGUUGGGAUGACGGUACCCAAAGAAUAAGCACCGGCUAACUUCGUGCCAGCCGCCGCAGUAA